CAUGAAACAAUUGACUGGUUCAAAGCUGGGAAGGGAGUAUGUAAAGGCUAUAUAUUUUCACCCUGCUUAUUUAACUUCUAUGCAGAGUACAUCAUGCAAAAUACCAGGCUGGAUGAAGCACAAGCUGGAAUCAAGAUUGCCGGGAGAAAUAUCAAUAACCUCAGAUAUGCAGAUGACACCAC